rnacentral:lncRNA from 1 species
GACUGCAGCCCAAAAUUUUGGAAUCAUGGUGCUUCAUGUGCAGAGACACAGCAUCUCACUCAAAGACGUACAGUGAUAUCAGAAACUACAGGACCUGAAGUACCUCCUUGCUUCUGCCUCAAUGGUGGAUUCUGCCAGGAUAGAGCCUGUGUGUGCCCCAGCGAGUGGGCAGGACCAUUUUGUGAUAUAGUGCCAAGAGGGCACAAUUCAGCUCAGUACUCCGCUCUACUGAGGGGACUGCAGUAUCCUCAGUUCCUGCUACCGCAGCCACAAGUUUUGGAUGGAUGCUGAAAGGUCUUCGGCUUAUCCAGGAAAAUAUUCUUGGUGAGGAUUGCUAGGUAGAUGGAAACUUCAGGUCUGCCAUACUACUUCCCUUGUGAUAGGCUGGGUAGAACAGCCAGCAAACAAUGACAAGUUGGACGGGUUCAUGAUGCAUUGGAACAUUUGAGCAAAAUAGUUCAGAGAAAUCGGCUGGGAUUUCAGCACUGGAAACAAGUCAUGAUGUUAAUUCUAAUUCCCCACGUCCAUUUCUCUGGGUAUUCUGUAAUUGAUUUGCUGUAAAUUGUAAAAGCUUACAGUGCCCUUCUGUCUGUUAUUCUCCCUUCCUGACUAAUUCAACUUGCCAAUGGGCUGGUCAAUCCUUCCUAGCCACUCCCAACCACCCACGACAUUUGCCUCCUCUCUAACAACUAACGAAACAAAGAUGUGUAUAUUAUGUAUUGGGAAUCAAAAGAUGAACAGUAGGACAUAAAGGUGAGGGGCUGAGGACCAAUGGAGCAUUGAGACUGUGGAAAAACAGCACAAAGGGUAUUAGGGAAGUUGGAAAGAGGAGUGGUGGGUCUGGGGAGGUGAUGAUUUAUUGCCAGAAGGAGAAAGCUGAGAACAUAGGGCAAAAAACUUUUGUAAACCAAUUAUGUUUGUCCUAAUGGAAACAUUCCUCUCGGUUCAUAUAUCAUUCCUUUUGUACAUGUCUUGACUCUUUUUGUCACAGAUCAUAUCAAAGAGUCUGGUUUUCUUCCUACUUAGUCCGUUUGCUCAUUGUUGUAUUUAGAUCUGGACCAACC